UACGGAGGGUGCAAGCGUUAUCCGGAUUCACUGGGUUUAAAGGGUGCGUAGGCGGCGCGGUAAGUCGGGUGUGAAAUUUCGAGGCUUAACUUCGAAACUGCAUUCGAUACUGCCGUGCUUGAGGACUGGAGAGGAGACUGGAAUUUACGGUGUAGCGGUGAAAUGCGUAGAUAUCGGGAGGAACACCUGAGGCGAAGGCGGGCUACUGGGCCGAUACUGACGCUGAUGUGCGAAAGCCAGGGGAGCGAACGGG
rnacentral:rRNA from 1 species